rnacentral:tRNA from 1 species
GUGGGUGUGGCUCAGCGGCCCACGGCGCCUGUCUUCCAAGCAGGAUAUCGCGAGUUCAAAUCUCGCCACCCACA